rnacentral:rRNA from 1 species
AUAAUACCCGAUAGGUCUCGAUUGCUGGAAUGCAUCGAGAUUUAAAGCUCCGGCGCCUAAGGAUGGGUCUGCGGCCUAUCAGGUAGUAGUGGGUGUAGCGUACCUACUAGCCUACGACGGGUACGGGUUGUGAGAGCAAGAGCCCGGAGAUGGAUUCUGAGACACGAAUCCAGGCCCUACGGGGUGCAGCAGGCGCGAAAACUUUACAAUGCUGGCAACAGCGAUAAGGGAACCUCGAGUGCCAGGUUACAAAUCUGGCUGUCGAGAUGCCUAAAAAGCAUUUCAUAGCAAGGGCCGGGCAAGACCGGUGCCAGCCGCCGCGGUAACACCGGCGGCUCGAGUGGUAACCGUUAUUAUUGGGUCUAAAGGGUCUGUAGCCGGCCGGAUAAGUCUCUUGAGAAAUCUGGCAGCUUAACUGUCAGGCUUUCAGGAGAUACUGUCUGGCUCGAGGCCGGGAGAGGUGAGAGGUACUUCAGGGGUAGGGGUGAAAUCUUGUAAUCCUUGAAGGACCACCAGUGGCGAAGGCGUCUCACCAGAACGGACCUGACGGCAAGGGACGAAAGCUAGGGGCACGAACCGGAUUAGAUACCCGGGUAGUCCUAGCCGUAAACGAUACUCGCUAGGUGUCGGCCACGGUGCGACCGUUGUCGGUGCCGUAGGGAAGCCGUGAAGCGAGCCACCUGGGAAGUACGGCCGCAAGGCUGAAACUUAAAGGAAUUGGCGGGGGAGCACCACAACGGGUGGAGCUUG